UAAUACGUAGGUGGCAAGCGUUGUCCGGAUUUACUGGGCGUAAAGAGCGCGCAGGCGGUCGUUCAAGUCGCGUGUGAAAGCCCCCGGCUCAACUGGGGAGGGUCACGCGAUACUGAUCGACUCGAAGGCAGGAGAGGGUAGUGGAAUUCCCGGUGUAGUGGUGAAAUGCGUAGAUAUCGGGAGGAACACCAGUGGCGAAGGCGACUACCUGGCCUGUUCUUGACGCUGAGGCGCGAAAGCUAGGGGAGCAAACGGGAUUAGAUACCCCGGUAGUCCUAGCCGUAAACGAUGGACACUAGGUGUUGGUGGUAUCAACCCCGCCAGUGCCGAAGCUAACGCAUUAAGUGUCCCGCCUGGGGAGUACGGCCGCAAGGCUA
rnacentral:rRNA from 1 species